rnacentral:lncRNA from 1 species
CCAAGCAACUUCCAUUAGAUAAAAUCCUAGGGGGAAAGCAGGAUAAAAGAGACACAAGAACAAUGUACAAGCCAGAGAUUGUCCACAAAUGGGAUAUAUUAUUCCUUUCUUAUGUCCCUUUAGUCAAAAUAUCACAUUUUGGUGGGUCUACAAGUCUAGGAAUAUGUUAGUUAGUAGUCUUUCUUGAGUAGAUUGGAGGGUAGGAAUCUAUCCUGCUGCUACAGU